rnacentral:rRNA from 1 species
GACAGAGGGUGCAAACGUUGUUCGGAAUACUGGGCGUAAAGCGUGUGUAGGCGGCUACAUAAGUCGGAUGUGAAAGCCCCGGGCUCAACCCGGGAAGUGCACUCGAUACUGCGUAGCUUGAGUCUCGGAGAGGUUGGUGGAAUUCUCGGUGUAGAGGUGAAAUUCGUAGAUAUCGAGAGGAACACCGGUGGCGAAGGCGGCCAACUGGACGAAGACUGACGCUGAGACACGAAAGCGUGGGGAGCAAACAGG